UACGUAGGGGGCAAGCGUUACCCGGAAUUACUGGGCGUAAAGCGCGUGUAGGCGGCUGGCCAAGCGUGGUGUGAAAUCUUCGGGCUUAACCCGAAAACUGCAUUGCGAACUGGUCUGGCUGGAGUGUGUGAGAGGGUAGUGGAAUUCCCGGUGUAGCGGUGAAAUGCGUAGAUAUCAGGAGGAAUACCUAUGGCGAAAGACAGGUAUCUGGGCCACAACUGACGCUGACGCUGCGAAAGCUAGGGGAGCAAACAGG
rnacentral:rRNA from 1 species